rnacentral:rRNA from 1 species
UACGUAGGGGGCAAGCGUUAUUCGGAAUUAUUGGGCGUAAAGGGCGCGUAGGCGGCCUGGCAAGUGGAUGGUGAAAUCCCUCGGCUUAACCGAGGAACUGCCGUCCAAACUGCCUCGCUUGAGACCGGGAGAGGUGAGUGGAAUUCCCAGUGUAGCGGUGAAAUGCGUAGAUAUUGGGAGGAACACCAGUGGCGAAGGCGGCUCACUGGACCAGUACUGACGCUGAUGCGCGAAAACGUGGGGAGCAAACGGG